AUGAACGCUGGCGGCGUGGAUAAGGCAUGCAAGUCGAGUGGGUUUAGGCCCACGGCGAACGAGGUAGUAACACGUGGGAAUUUCCCCCAGAGUCGAGCAUAACUGGCCGAAAGGCCAGAUAAUUCUCGAUAGUCUCUAAGGAGUAAAGAUUUAUCGCUCUGGGAAAAGCCUGCGAGAUAUCAGCUAGUUGGUAAGGUAAUGGCUUACCAAGGCUAUGACGUCUAGGGGAGCUGAGAGGCUGACCCCCACCGAUGGGACUGAGACACGGCCCAUACACCUACGGGUGGCUGCAGUCGAGAAUCUUCCGCAAUGGGCGAAAGCCUGACGGAGCGACGCCGCGUGAUGGAUGAAGUACUUCGGUACGUAAACAUCUUUUAUCAGGGAAGAACUAAAGUGACGGUACCUGAGGAAUAAGGGGCUGCAAAACUCGU
rnacentral:rRNA from 1 species